CUGAUUCUCGGCUCACGCGGGAGGGGAGUAAAGGGUGGCGUUCCGGGGCUGGAGUUCGGUGGGUGCAGCCUGCUUGCGAGCUGAGGCCAGCCAGUGGGGCACCUGCGGACGGGAAUCAGUGGUUGGAAUGUUCCCCAGCAGGAAGGAGGAGGUUGGGCUAACUUGCUUCUCUCUUCUCGCUUCACCUGAGGUGGCACACACCUUCAUUAUGGAUGUGUUUCUUAGAGAAGAUACAGCAAAGCAGUAGUCCUGUAGGAGCAAAAGUAAGGCCUCCCUUUUAAGAUGUGAUAUGGGAAAGAAAAUACUCCGAUUAGGAUUAAUGAGGCCAGUGGCUGCAAGAAAAGAAAGGUUGAUUACAAACAGGACCAUAUUUUGCUUCGAAAUGGAACCAGCAGUUAGCGAGCCAAUGAGAGACCAAGUCGCACGGACUCAUUUGACAGAGGACACUCCCAAAGCGAGUGCUGACAUAGAAAAGGUUAACCAGAAUCAGGCCAAGAAAUGCACAGUGAUCGGGGGCUCUGGAUUCCUGGGGCAGCACAUGGUGGAGCAGUUGCUGGCAAGAGGAUAUGCUGUCAAUGUAUUUGAUAUCCAGCAAGGGUUUGAUAAUCCCCAGGUGCAAUUCUUUCUGGGUGACCUCUGCAGCCGGCAGGAUCUGUACCCAGCUCUGAAAGGUGUAAACACAGUUUUCCACUGUGCAUCACCCCCAGCAUCCAGUAACAACAAGGAACUCUUUUAUAGAGUGAAUUACUUUGGCACCAAGAAUGUCAUUGAAACUUGCAAAGAGGCUGGGGUUCAGAAACUCAUUUUAACCAGCAGUGCCAGUGUCAUCUUUGAGGGCGUCGAUAUCAAGAAUGGAACUGAAGACCUUCCCUAUGCCAUGAAACCCAUUGACUACUACACAGAGACUAAGAUCUUACAGGAGAAGGCAGUCCUGGGCGCCAACGAUCCUGAGAAGAAUUUCUUAACCACAGCCAUCCGCCCUCAUGGCAUUUUCGGCCCAAGGGACCCACAGUUGGUACCCACCCUAAUCGAGACAGCCAGAAACGGCAAGAUGAAGUUCGUGAUUGGCCUCACUGCUACCCUGACUCGUCACCUUGAAGGAUUACAAGGAGACUGGUCAGUAAAUGGGAGACCAGAGCAAGGCGUUGGCCCCAUGUCUCCUGGGAAGGGGCUGAAAAACUGCGACCCAAAUCGGGACAGGAGAGACAGCACCAGUGUUGGCCAUGCUGGAAUGGGUGGGCAGGUCCCCCAGCUUUCAGAUUCCACUAACCCUGAAGACCCAGGAGUCCUGGCCCAGUGUACAUCUUUAACCAGUACAGACAUCCAUGAGUGCCUGGACUGGCCUUGCCAAGUGAGGUGGCAGCCAUUCUGCAGGUCACAGUCUCUCAAAUGCUGAGACUUGGGAGCAGCCCUGGCCUUCGUGCAGGGGCUCCCAGUACGUAUUCCAUCAUCCCUUGUGCACCUGCAGAAAUGGGAAGAACUUGGUGGACUUCACCUUUGUGGAGAACGUGGUCCAUGGACACAUCCUGGCUGCAGAGCAACUCUCCCGAGACUUGACACUGGGUGGGAAGGCAUUUCACAUCACCAAUGAUGAGCCCAUCCCUUUCUGGACAUUCCUGUCUCGCAUCCUGACAGGCCUCAAUUAUGAGGCCCCCAAGUAUCACAUCCCGUACUGGGUGGCCUACUACCUGGCCCUCCUGCUGUCCCUGCUGGUGAUGGUGGUCAGUCCUGUCAUCCAACUGCAGCCCACCUUCACACCCAUGCGGGUCGCACUGGCUGGCACAUUCCACUACUACAGCUGCGAGAGGGCCAAAAAGGCCAUGGGCUACCAGCCACUAGUGACCAUGGAUGAUGCUGUGGAGAGGACGGUGCAGAGCUUUCGCCACCUGCGGAGGGUCAAGUGAGGGACACUGGAGGCUGGGCUCUCUCGACACAUUCCCCAGCCAGUCACUCCUUCCCCUGUGGAGUGAAGAAAUAACAUCCUUCGAAUGAGUUUGCUCUGAGCCUGUGACUCCUCCUGCUAGGCAGAGAGCGCACCCUACUACUUCCAUGACAACAAAGGCAGUAAAAACAGAUAUUUCUUCCUUCAUGGAAUUGGAUUUGGAUUUCUUGAAGCAGGCAGCUUCAUAUUAUACUGAUUGGCUCUCUGU